GUUUGGUGCGUGCGGUGUUGGCACAUUAUUCCCAAAUUCAACAAAAACCAAUCUGGAAAGUUUGAGUGAAAAAAUCGGUGAGGUCGGAACUUCCAGUCGCCGCGAAUCUCGACACCAGCGAACCUCCCAUAAAAUCUGACAGGUCUUGGCUCAUUAUCCCUAAAAUCAAAGAAAAAUGGUGGGGGUUGGCAAGCAUUCCAAAUCGAACCAUUCGCGAACUGCAUCGCUGCUGGCCGCUACGUACUAGAACACCGAAGUCGUCAUCUUGCCAGAAUAGGAGGAAAGAAUUCCGGAAUUUGUCAUAGUUGCAGAUCGAAGGGACAUUUCUUCGAUGAAUGUCGAAGUAAGAUCGCUGCCUUGUUUGCAAGAGUGGAUUCCAGAAGUGCUUUGAGGUGGAGAGAGAGACCGAUAACAAAGGAAAACUAUUCAAAUGCUGUAGUCGUAAAUGCGAUUUUUGGAGUGGGUUGGAGAAGAAGAAUCAAGUGGUGAAUCAAGUGCCGUCGAUAGCAAGGCAAAUCCUGUAUCGAAAGAAUCAGUGUCGGAUUUGUCGUGCAUGUUUCAAUAUCAAAUUCAUCUCCCCGACGAAGAAGAGGUCCAAAUUUCGAUGAAUAUGAACAUGACAAUUCACAACAUGGAGAAGAAUGAGAAAUGAAAGUGGCCGGCUGCAUUAGUAGCCCCAUUUUUUAAUAAACGUUGAUGUUAUGUAUGUUUGCAUUUGUACGACUCUUCGUAGUGACCUUUUGGGUUUGAAAUUCGGCCCUCUCCAUAUUUCCUUCUUUUGGAAGGUCUUGUGGUUUGAAAUUUAGUUCUUUCUAAUUGUAGCUUUAAAAUUCCCUUAAUUUUUCUACUGGCAUGCUGUAAGACAGAACCGAUAUUGAUAUCAAUUUAUUUGAGCUUGAAUUGACUUAACUUUUAUA